UGGGCUAGAAAACACGUGAAUCUGGCGGAAACGUCGGGGUGCUCUUCGGAGAACGCGUGGUUAGGUGCUGCAUGGCUGUCGUCAGCUCGUGUCGUGAGAUGUUGGGUUAAGUCCCGCAACGAGCGCAACCCUUGUCGUUAGUUACCAGCGAGUCAUGUCGGGAACUCUAACGAGACUGCCGAUAUUAAAAUCGGAGGAAGGUGGGGAUGACGUCAAGUCAUCAUGGCCCCUAUGUCCAGGGCUACACACGUGCUACAAUGGUCGGUACAAAGGGCUGCCAGCCAGCAAUGGUGAGCUAAUCCCAAAAAACCAACCUCAGUACAGAUAGGAGUCUGCAACUCGACUCCUUGAAGUCGGAAUCGCUA
rnacentral:rRNA from 1 species